rfam:Paenibacillus selenitireducens strain ES3-24 ES3-24_scaffold2, whole genome shotgun sequence.
AGGUAAUGUCUCCUGCACCUCUAUCACCGGAGGCACUCGGUCACACUGUGGGUCAGUAGACCUUAGACGCUUGUCGUCAAGGGUGUGAUGUGAGGUAGGGUUUAAUGCCCU